rnacentral:rRNA from 1 species
AGCAGCCGCGGUAAUUCCAGCUCCAAUAGCGUAUAUUAAAGUUGUUGCAGUUAAAAGCUCGUAGUUGAAUUUUGGAUUCUACCAAUUGGUCCAUCUUUGGAUGAGUACUGGUUGUGUGGGGUCUUACCGCCUGGUAAUACGUAAUGUCCUUUAUUGGAUGUUGCGGGUAGCCAGGACUUUUACCUUGAAAAAUUAGAGUGUUUAAAGCAGGCUUAUGCCGGAAUACAUUAGCAUGGAAUAAUAGAAUAGGACGAAGUUGUUUUAUUUUGUUGGUUUUCUAGGACAACCGUAAUGAUUAAUAGGGAUAGUUGGGGCAUUAGUAUUCAAUUGUCAGAGGUGAAAUUCUUGGAUUUAUUGAAGACUAACUACUGCGAAAGCAUUUGCCAA